AGCAAACCUCCCCAAAUCCAACACUUCCAGCAUGUCCAAACUGGGAAACAGGCGGCAGAGUAACACGGGGCAAGAAGAGGAGAGGGAGCAAACAGACACCAGCAAAGCAUUCCUGUAACACGAUGUGCUACACAAGUUCCCAGUAGCGACAGACGCCUAAAGGAGCCUGUUUGUGUGCUGUGUGGCCACGUUCUGCUGUGACUGGAUCUUGUCUUCUGCCUGGCUCCUCGAUUUCCGUCCGGCUGGAUUUGGGGACAACACUGCCUGGCGCAGACAGAUCAAAUGACACUUCAAAGAAGCAUAAAAUGAACAGACUAUUCAAACAAAGGUAAUUUACAUUUUUUUAUUUGAUAAAACCUGACUGAUGUACAAAACGAAAAUAGAAUAUUGUUUACUGGAAAACAGGUCUACAAUCUCUCACACAUCUUCUCUUGCAACAGAUAGAAUUCCAGAAACAUCUAAGUUCCUCUGUGUACAGUUAUUUCUCCUGUAGGAGCCUUUGUAUGGAUGUAAUACACACAUAUAUGUAUAUGCAUAGAGCAUGACAUAAAUAAAACCUGCAAUAGCCUAUAAGAAAGAAGCUCCUAUUUAGAGGAAAGGGUAAGAUACUUUUAUUAUAAUGAAAGCCAGUUCACUUCAUCACUUGGACCAUGGACACUAAUGUAAAUAAAAUGGCUUAAAAAAUAAGACAAUAGUAGUAUUGACUGUAGACUACAAUUUGCACAUUUGUAAUUCUUAUAAAUGAAAUAUUUAAAAUGAUUUGGUGUUGGGCCAGUUCCUUAUGCAUUCUGCAUUCAUGUGUAUAGGAUUCAAAGACGUUCCAAAUAUUGAUCAUAAACCAAGUGUAUAUGAAUUAAUUAAAUAGCAUAUUUCUGGCCCAAAUAUGAGGAAAACCAUAACUUUUUACUGUAAAUCAGGAGAGAUUGUUUUAUCCCCAAAUAAACUAGGAUGUUUCAAGUCAUGUUUCAGCAAUUUGGAGACCUACAAACUAUCUGCAAGCAAGCACAACAACCAUACUCUAAUCUACUAGAUAGUAGUGAGAAUUUAGUGCUUGAAUUCAGGCUGCUUGAAUUCAGUAUAUCCUUCUCUAUGCUGAUUUUCAAGUAGAUAUUCUGUAGCUCAGCUAGAUAAUCUUUUAAAAGCAAAAAAAAAA
rnacentral:lncRNA from 1 species